rnacentral:rRNA from 1 species
UUUAAAAAUUAUACUUUUUAUUUAAGAUAAUUGUUUAUAAAAAGAUUAUGAUAAUGUUAUUUGUUACUGCAAAGGAAUUUAAUUUAAAAAUUUAAAAGUAAAUUUUAUGUACCUUUUGCAUAAGGGAUUUUCUAUAAAAAUUAAACAUUUAUUUUUCUCGAAAUAAAUUGAUCUAAAAUUAAUAUAUAAUUUAUAUUUCAUUAUAAAUUUUAAAUUUAUUUUAGAUGUGAAAUGCUUGUCAAAAUUUAAGAUAACUAGUUUAUUAAAAAAAAUUUUAUAUUAACCUAUAAUAAUUUUUUUAAUUAACAUUUUUAUAGGUUAAAAUCUUAGGGAUAAGCUAAAGGUUAAAAUUUUUAAAAAUUAAAAACUUUAAGAAAAAUAGAAGAAAUAUAAUUGUUCUUUGUACUGUUAUAAGUAAAUUUAAGUAAUUGUUUAAAGUUAAUUUAUUUUUAAUAAAAUAAAAAAUAAUGUUUAUUUUAAAAAAUGAAAAUAUUAGUAAAAUUAUUUUCUAACUUAGAAAAAUUAAUUUUAAUAUAAUUUAUAAAUUAAAAUAAGUUUUAAUAAUUCGGCAAAAUUUUUCUUUGACUGUUUAAUAAAAACAACUUAUUCAGAUAAAUACAUUUUAUUGAAUAUAAAUCCUGCUCAAUGAAAUUUUUAAAUUGCUGUAGUAUUUUGACUAUACAAAGGUAUUGUAAUAAGAUUUUAAUUGAAUACUAAGAGAAUGGAAUUACAAGGAAUAACUAUUUUAAACUUAAAAAUUAAAGUUAUUUUAAUUUGUGAAGAAACAAUUAUUAAAAUUAAGGACAAGAAGACCCUAAGAAUUUUAAAAUCAAUAAGUUUUUAUAAAAAAAUUAUUGAUUUUUAGUUGGGGCAACUAAAAAAUAUUAUCAACUUUUUUUUAAUAAAAUGAUCCAUUAUUAAUGAUUAUUUGGAAAAAUACUCUAGGGAUAACAGCGUAAUAAUUUUUGAUAGAACAUAUAGACAAAAUAGUUUGCGACCUCGAUGUUGGAUUAGGAUUCUUUUUUAAUGAAGAUGUUAAAAAAAGAAGUUUGUUCAACUUUUAAAGUCCUACAUGAUCUGAGUUUAGACCGAUGAGAAUCAGGUUGGUUUCUAUCUUAAUUGAAAUAAAUUUUUUGAUUAGUACGAAAGGAAUUUCAAAAUUUAAUUUAUUUAAUAUAACAAUAAUUUUAUUUGCA